UACGGGGGGAGCAAGCGUUGUUCGGAUUUACUGGGCGUAAAGGGCGCGUAGGCGGCCACUGCAAGUCAGUUGUGAGAUCUCCGGGCUUAACCCGGAAAGGUCAACUGAUACUGCAGGGCUAGAGUGCAGAAGGGGCAACUGGAAUUCUCGGUGUAGCGGUGAAAUGCGUAGAUAUCGAGAGGAACACCUGCGGCGAAGGCGGGUUGCUGGGCUGACACUGACGCUGAUGUGCGAAAGCUAGGGGAGCGAACGGG
rnacentral:rRNA from 1 species